GCAGCAGCACCUUCACUUCUAACACUGAGAAGAAAACAGAAGAAGUGGACAGCAUCCAUCAGACAGCUGUCUCCAACAAAGAAGAUGGCUGGCCUGUGCUGGAUGACUGUAACUCUGGCCUUCUUCCUGUCCACUGAAAACAGUUUGGUUGCUGUGGACCAGAACAGGCUUGCAACAAUUGUAAAUGGCAUCUUGAGAGAGUAUGUUCAGCCUGGCUGUAAGGAUCCCGACAACCAGAAACAAAAAAUGAAAGAUCUCCUUCAGCGAGUCUUUAAAAGUGAUCCAGGCGAAGAUGUGAAGAAUAAGACCACCAGGGUGGUCGCAGCCAAAGCUCUGAAACGUGCCAAUAGAGAAGCUGAUCAUGCGGAGUCACGCGUUGUAAACCACUUGGACCACCCAUUCAACAUUAAUAAUGCUAAUGAUCCUGAUUUGUUGUUUGGAAAAUUUUCAAGCGACACACAUUGUGAGAACAUUCUCCAAAGGAUAAAUCGCAUCCGUCAAUGGGAUAAUUAUGCUGUUGUGUUUUCUACAAUAUUCACACCCCACACUGGUUUGAUCAAUACUGACGAACACCGUAGUGGAGCCCUUCAACAAUCAUCGAAUGCAGUGAAGCAGCUGCUCUGGUGAUAAUCAAGUUGGGGUGGUGACGGCGCAAUGGAUAACACGCCUGUCUUUGAUGUGAGAGACCCAGGGUUCAAUUCGCCACUGUGACCCACCCACCAUUGUGUCCCCGAGCAAGACACUUAACCCUCAUUGUUAAGGUGUGUGACCUCUGACAUGUAUACCAAUUGUAAGUCACUUUGGAUAAAAAAGUCAGAUAAAGUUGCGCACUAUUGUGUUUCAGAUGACACAAAGCCUGGUCGCAGCCAAAGCUGGCCAUUCUCUUAUUCUAUAAGGCCUCAAAAUGGCAGAGGUGGUUCCUCCUCACAAAUAUGUUUCUAUUUGGGCAAUAGAUGACGACACAGGUCGAGGUCAGGGUGGCAGUGGAAGAGAAGGGGGCAUGGGCAGAGGAAGGGGUGGCAGAAGAAAAAGAAGCCCUGAUCCUACAGGUGACGAUGUUUCCUCCUCACAAACUGAUGACAGCGAAAGAAAUUAUUUUACUACAGGUGAAGGUGUGUCCACCUCUCUAAGUGGCACUGAUAAUGGUAAUGGAAAUGAUGGUUCUAAUCCAGGUGAAAGCUUUGAAAUUAUUAGAAAUGAAGGCAGGGGUACUGACACAAAAGAGGACAGGCACAGAGGAGGAAAAGGGAGAGGAAUUGUCAGGGUUUGUGUGGUGAGGCAGAUUGAUGGACCCAAAUGCAGGACGCAGAGCGGAGCAGGUACAGUUCAGAAGGGUUUAUUGUGGCAAAACAAAAGGCGAGCAUACUUACUGACAGAGUGGAUUAAACAGAUGACCAAACGGUGGGAAUGUGACGCUCGACACUGACGUGUCGACGCUGUGUCGAGAUCCCGAAGCACAGACGUUUCGAAACACUGCUCCAAAGCGUGGUUCAAAACGUCAAUGUCACGUGACCGCAAUGAAUGAGGCUUCGGUGCGUUUCACCCCUGUUUUGACAGGUGGGACACCUGCUGGAACCUGCGAUUAUGAAAAAAACACGACUCAGCCACAGCUGAAUAUUUCUGAAUACAAUUCUUGACAUAUAACAAAUGUGAGACAUUUUUUCAUUUAUCAAUCUUUUUUAAUCCAUUACACCUCAUCACUGCAGCACUCAUUAUUAAUUAUUAUUUCACUAGGGCCUAUAUCUUUCCUGCUAAUUAUCAUUACACCUGUUAAUAAGCUACUGUGUAAUACUGUAGAUAUCCACAUUUAUUACUAUAUUCUUAGAUUUGUAUACUUUAUUAUAUUCUCUAUUCACUAACUUCAACUUUAUUUCUAUUCCGUUUAGGCCUUGCGAGUAUCUGUAACAAAGCAUUCACCCUCGUAGAUCAAUAAAGUGUUCUGAUUGUGAAAAUGAAUAGGGUAGUGGUUAAGACAUAUGCCUUUAGUGUGAGAGAUGUGGGUUCGAUUCCUACUGUGAUACGUGUGUCACUGAGUAAGACAUUUAACCUCUAGUUGCUCCAAAGUGCACCCUCUGACACAGCAAUUGUGAUUUGCUUUGAGAAAAGCCUCCGCUAAAUCAGUGAUUACUUAUUAAACAACACACAGAUGUGUUUUAUUAAACAGAUUUAAUUGCAAUCCCCAUCUGCUGUCUCAGACAAUCUGAAAGCAUUUGUUUGUUUGUUGCAUGGUGAUUUCUCCAAAAUCGUGUUGCUCAUGUAUUGAUGAGACGUUUGGAAUUGUAAAUGCUGGUCAGUCGUUGUUUCAAUGAAACCCCUACUAAGAUGCGUUGAUAUCAAUCGAUAUCAGUAGGUGUCACCGUGGAGACGGGUGUCGAAGUGUUUUGAAGCCUCGACACAAUUUCGGCACAAUUGCUUCAAACGUUUCAAUGUUUCAUAAAGCCUCGCUUUGCCCAUCAAUACCAAACGGGUACAGAUCCAAGACAGACAGGGCAGAGACAAGACAAGCACAGAGCUACACAUGACAGAGCGUAUCACACUACAAAACACCACAAUGACUGGACAAGCACUAAACAGAAACACCAGGUAUAUAUACACACAGGGACUAACGAGCAGGGCCGGGAGCAACACAGGUGACAGACAUGAGGCUAACAAGACACAGGCAGGCAGAGAGAGAGCAGGGGAAAACAGAGACAGACAUGCAGAGGAAUUACUGGGGUAACAGACACAACACAGGUUAUAUCACAAGAUGUAACAGAUCAGAAACAACAAACUAACUAGACAGACUCAGACACAAACGGACAGAUCACAACAAAACUAACACCAACAGGGAAAACAGACAGGACAGAACACAUGUAACAAAAUAACAGACAAGAAUCUAACUUCAGACAA